UUUGUUAUUAAUGGAAUUUUAAAUAGUGGAAUGCAGCCCAUUUUACUUUCAGACUACAUCUACAAUCAAGAAGAAUUUAGCCCUACACCAGGCU
rnacentral:lncRNA from 1 species